AGCGAACGCUGGCGGCAGGCCUAACACAUGCAAGUCGAACGAACUCUUCGGAGUUAGUGGCGGACGGGUGAGUAACCCGUGGGAACGUGCCUUUUGGUUCGGAAUAACUCAGGGAAACUUGUGCUAAUACCGAAUGUGCCCUUCGGGGGAAAGAUUUAUCGCCAUUAGAGCGGCCCGCGUCUGAUUAGCUAGUUGGUGAGGUAACGGCUCACCAAGGCGACGAUCAGUAGCUGGUCUGAGAGGAUGACCAGCCACACUGGGACUGAGACACGGCCCAGACUCCUACGGGAGGCAGCAGUGGGGAAUCUUGCGCAAUGGGCGAAAGCCUGACGCAGCCAUGCCGCGUGAAUGAUGAAGGUCUUAGGAUUGUAAAGUUCUUUCAACGGGGACGAUAAUGACGGUACCCGGAGAAGAAGCCCCGGCUAACUUCGUG
rnacentral:rRNA from 1 species